AUGCAUGCCUAAGUACAGCUCGGCGGGGCAACUUGCCGGGCGAAACCGCAGACGGCUCAUUAAAUCAGUUGUGGUCUAAGUGGGCGAUAGUUUCCUUUUGGAUAACUGUGGAAAAUCCAGAGCUAAUACAUGCUGCAACAAGUCCUCAGCCAAACCCCUUGUGGGAACUAACUGGGGAUGCUUUUAUUAGACCGAGGCGCGCGCAUCGUCAGUUUAGCGCUUGUCUCCUUCGGGAGGUAGGAGAGCGGCUGAUUGUGUGUCGCAUGUAAGCGCUUAAAGGUGACUCUGGAUAACAAUGAUAAGCGUGCUUUAAGUAGCACGCUGCCUACUUACGAGUGACUGUCCUAUCAGCUACUAACGUAUGUUAUAUGCUUACGUUGGCUAUGACGGGUAACGGGGAAUCAGAGUUCGAUUCCGGAGAGGCAGCCUGAGAAACGG
rnacentral:rRNA from 1 species